rnacentral:lncRNA from 1 species
UUGUUGCUCAAUUGAGUAUCUUUGGGUUCGUGAACUCGGGUAUGUGUGUGGUAGCAUGUAUGAGUGUGAGCAGCAUCAUCAGGACCAGGUGGAUUGCAAGUGUGUGUGUGAGUGCAAGUUGUGGUCGUGGUGUUCUUCAAGAAUUCAUCCAGAAAUGAAUCUACAGAUGCUAAAUUUUGAAAAUCACUUGAAGAAUCCAGUUUCGAUAAUAAAACAUGAUCUGAAAGCUCUACUUCCCCAUCAUCCAUUUUCCCCCCUCCCCCUUCAUUUACUAACACAACCCAUAAGUGUUCUGCAAUCAAACAACACAAGAAAGAUCAUAUCUGCAAAUCAAAUUCUCGCUUUUUUGGAUCAAUCAGUCAACCCUAUUUCUUUCCUAUUCAAGCAACAAACCCUAAUAAAUUUAAACUAAAUUUCCCAAUAUUACAAAUCCGAACCAAAUCAUUAAAAGCAGAUUUCAUGAUCAAAAGCUCAAAGAACAAGCUGUAAGAAUAUAUGCCAAGAGAACACAAUCCUCAAAUCCGGAAUCAAUAAAUUACCCAUAAAAUUACAAGUCAUAAUCAAGCAAAGGUUCUGUCCAGCAACUGACAACAUCAUUAAAAGAGGAGAUUCUUAAAGUCUUUUAGAUUUAAGGGUUUAACUUUUAACAUACCCAAAAUAAGUCUUUUAAAACAAUUCAAAGCAUACCCAGUUAGAAAUUCUCCACAAGAUGAUGGAAUCAAGCAUAUAGAUGAGAUUAUGAUGUGGAAUUUGGUGAUGGGAAUCCCUCAGCUUCAAAUUAAGCAAAGAUAACAGAGCGAUGAAAGAAGAAGAAUCUGAUGAAGAAACACAUAAAAUCUGAGUUUUUGAUAAAUGGGUUGGUUUUACCUGUAAAGUUAUAUCGUCAAUAUUCUCCAACAAUAAUAAGUUGAAGCUAUGGAGUCUGGUGCAGGUGAGAUUAUGGUGCCAUUACAGAAAAGCAGAGUUCCACAGAGUGUAUCCAUUUAUCACCUUUGAAUCCUUCCAAGCAAAUUUCAGCCAUUUGGUUUAAUAAGAACAAUCGUUCGUUUUCUUGUGGCCCAGAUCCACAAUGGCACCAUAAGACCGUACUAGAUUAAACCAGAUCUAAUUAUGUUUAAUCCAAAAGUAAAAAUAAAAAAUUAUAAUCUAGAAAUCAAAAAUUUCGAUCUAGUCUUUAGUCCGAACUCUGAACUGAAUAAAUUAAAUUUUGUAAAAAAAUUUUAAAAUUUUUAAUUGUAGAUUGAUAGUUAAUAAAUUAUUACUUUAUAAAUUUUUAUUGUUUAUUUUGA